GGCGGUUGGUCGCGUCUGCUGUGAAAGGCUGGGGCUUAACCCUGGUUUUGCAGUGGGUACGGGCUAACUAGAGUGCAGUAGGGGAGACUGGAAUUCCUGGUGUAGCGGUGGAAUGCGCAGAUAUCAGGAGGAACACCGAUGGCGAAGGCAGGUCUCUGGGCUGUAACUGACGCUGAGAAGCGAAAGCAUGGGGAGCGAACAGGAUUAGAUACCCUGGUAGUCCAUGCCGUAAACGUUGGGCACUAGGUGUGGGGGACAUUCCACGUUUUCCGCGCCGUAGCUAACGCAUUAAGUGCCCCGCCUGGGGAGUACGGCCGCAAGGCUAAAACUCAAAGAAAUUGACGGGGGCCCGCACAAGCGGCGGAGCAUGCGGAUUAAUUCGAUGCAACGCGAAGAACCUUACCAAGGCUUGACAUAUACUGGACUGCGUCAGAGAUGGCGUUUCCCUUCGGGGCUGGUAUACAGGUGGUGCAUGGUUGUCGUCAGCUCGUGUCGUGAGAUGUUGGGUUAAGUCCCGCAACGAGCGCAACCCUUGUCCCGUGUUGCCAGCACGUUGUGGUGGGGACUCGCGGGAGACUGCCGGGGUCAACUCGGAGGAAGGUGGGGAUGACGUCAAAUCAUCAUGCCCCUUAUGUCUUGGGCUUCACGCAUGCUACAAUGGCCGGUACAGAGGGUUGCGAUACUGUGAGGUGGAGCUAAUCCCUAAAAGCCGGUCUCAGUUCGGAUUGGGGUCUGCAACUCGACCCCAUGAAGUCGGAGUCGCUAGUAAUCGCAGAUCAGCAACGCUGCGGUGAAUACGUUCCCGGGCCUUGUACACACCGCCCGUCAAGUCACGAAAGUUGGUAACACCCGAAGCCGGUGGCCUAACCCUGGUGGGGGGAGCCGUCGAAGGUGGGACUGGCGAUUGGGACUAAGUCGUAACAAGGUAGCCGUACCGGAAGGUGCGGCUG
rnacentral:rRNA from 1 species